rnacentral:tRNA from 1 species
GCCCCACUGGCCUAAUGGACAAGGCACUGGCCUCCUAAGCCAGGGAUUGUGGGUUCAAGUCCCACCUGGGUUG